rnacentral:miRNA from 1 species
GGUCUCACUUUGUAGCCCAGGCUGGCCUCAAACUCACAGUGAUCCUCCUGCCUCAGCCUCUCGAGUGCUGGGAU